AUUGAACGCUGGCGGCAGGCCUAACACAUGCAAGUCGAGCGGUAGAGAGGUGCUUGCACCUCUUGAGAGCGGCGGACGGGUGAGUAAUGCCUAGGAAUCUGCCUGGUAGUGGGGGAUAACGUCCGGAAACGGACGCUAAUACCGCAUACGUCCUACGGGAGAAAGCAGGGGACCUUCGGGCCUUGCGCUAUCAGAUGAGCCUAGGUCGGAUUAGCUAGUUGGUGAGGUAAUGGCUCACCAAGGCGACGAUCCGUAACUGGUCUGAGAGGAUGAUCAGUCACACUGGAACUGAGAAACGGUCCAGACUCCUACGGGAGGCAGCAGUGGGGAAUAUUGGACAAUGGGCGAAAGCCUGAUCCAGCCAUGCCGCGUGUGUGAAGAAGGUCUUCGGAUUGUAAAGCACUUUAAGUUGGGAGGAAGGGUUGUAGAUUAAUACUCUGCAAUUUUGACGUUACCGACAGAAUAAGCACCGGCUAACUCUGUGCCAGCCACCGCCGUAAAAC
rnacentral:rRNA from 1 species